rnacentral:rRNA from 1 species
CAGUGGGGAAUAUUGGGCAAUGGAGGAAACUCUGACCCAGCGACGCCGCGUGCGGGAUGAAGGCCUUCGGGUUGUAAACCGCUUUCAGCAGGGAAGAAGCGAAAGUGACGGUACCUGCAGAAGAAGCACCGGCUAACUAUGUGCCAGCAGCCGCGGUAAUACAUAGGGUGCAAGCGUUGUCCGGAAUUAUUGGGCGUAAAGAGCUCGUAGGUGGUUCGUCACGUCGGAUGUGAAACUCUGGGGCUUAACCCCAGACCUGCAUUCGAUACGGGCGAGCUUGAGUAUGGUAGGGGAGUCUGGAAUUCCUGGUGUAGCGGUGGAAUGCGCAGAUAUCAGGAGGAACACCAAUGGCGAAGGCAGGACUCUGGGCCAUUACUGACACUGAGGAGCGAAAGCGUGGGGAGCGAA